GCCGCCAUUGCCGCAGCUCCGCCGAUGCCUGCGGACGUCCCAACCGCCUCCCCGCAGAUCUCGCCAACGGAAGCAAGUCCGUCCAACCUUGGCCGCCACGAUUUCCGGGUCACCGGGGACGCCAGCUGGAGAUGGUUUUCUCUGUUGCGUUCAGGUCUCGGGGUAUAUAACCCACCCUAGACACGCCCAGUUCUCCGUCGAAUCAGGGCAUCACCGCCUCAUCCAAAUCACCAUUAGCGCACUGGGCGGGAUGAAGGUUACCACCGCGGGCAUAUUGGUAGGGGCGCGGCCCUCGGGGAAUCCUUGAUGGCGUCCUCUAUCGAUGCGUGGGGGUUGGCUUGGGCAACUCAUGAAGAAUCUGGGCGUGGACGCAAUUGGAAAGUGGUGACCGCGAGCCGUGGGAUUUCCUCGUCGGGGUUCGUCGUCCGGCAUCAAGGGAGACGCUGCUCCGCUCAUCUUCGCCAUAUGCUUUCCCACCCCUGGCAUUCCGGGUGAGAACUACCCCUCUGAUUUCUCCUUUACCUCCGCAUCGCGUUGGACCAGUCGGCCAUGGAUUUGGGACUCGGGAUUACUGGUUCAUAGCGCACCGGCGGGAGCUCCGCCGUGGAGCUCAUCCCCGCCGCCUUGCUUCGACCUGGGUGUGGGCGCGCAUGUGCGAACCAUUGGAUUCGCACGGGAUGGCCGAGAUUAGAUGAGAGAGAACGAUUGGAUGUGUUAGAUCGUGGCCGCCCAUCUGGAUCUGACGGUGGGUAUUAUAGCACGAGGUUGGGAAUCUUCAGCCGAGGGAUUGAGAUCUGAUGACUGUGAUUCGGCACUGGUUCGAGAAGACCUAGUUCUAAUCUGGGGCGCACGUGUUAGAUCGAAUGGCCACGGUCAGCCCAUACCGCUUCGGCGUAUGAAUUUUGCGUAUGAGUCCUUGAACUUUAGGGGAAUGAAACCCGCAGUCCUCCGCGGGGUAAAUCUGAGUCUAGGGAAUACUUGCGCGCCAACCCCUGUCUUUUACAGAAUUUAAUGCUCAAUCCAGAGAACAGAAAAUCCAAGGAAUUCAUUUAGAAAAUACAUUUUUUUGUGUGAAAAUAAUUAUAGGAACUUAAGUAAUUCCUAGAAAAUACAUUUUGACUCCUUUUUAGUCCAUUCCAGUUCCUAUAAUUUUGUAAUAUUAUGGUUUAUCAUCUAGUACCUCUGUUUUGACAUGAAAGUCACAUUAAAAUUGAUAACCUAUUUAAUCUUGUACAAACACAUAUAAUCUUUAUAAAAUUCAUAACUUCUUCGUUUUUAUUCCGAUUUGACCCGUUCCAGUUGCUCUAGUUUCAUAUAAAUAUUUACUACGCAGUAGUAACAUUGAUUAUAUGAUAUCCCCUACUUUUAUAAUUAGGUAAUUAAUUGGAUUAAUCUAGGUCUAUUGGAUUAACUUCUUUAAUAUUAAAAUAGUAUUCUAAUUUUAUGGCUAUAAUUUAACUAGAUAAUCUUUAAUCAAUGACUUAGAUUAAAGUGGAGAUAAUGAUUUAUAGAAUAAUCUCUCAUAUGAUUUAUACUAACCAAUUUAUAAUAUAGUUUAAUAUUUUAACCACAUAGAUCUUCUAUAAAAUCAUAACUCCUUAACCAUGACUCCGAUCUUAGUGGUUCUCGUUCCUGCGAUCUCGUAGCAACGCGUAGAUCAUUAUUAUUCAGAUUGUACUUAUGUUUGGUGUGAUGUUAAUUUUGUCUAUACCAUGUUUGUUUGUAUUGCUACGACUAGCGCGAGGUUUUGAAGAUCUGAAGAAUCACCCUGGUAACUGGAAUCUCAAGUGCCAGGCAAGUUGUGCCCUUGAUCACUUCUUUUUACCUACUCAUGUUCUAAUUAAUCAUAAUGAUCUGCAUAGGUUAAUUUUGAUGGGACCCAAUAGGUUACCCUAGUUUGAUUAUCUUUAUACCUUGUUUACCACUGAACUUAUUGGGUAGUACUUGCUAGUGCUUUAUGUGGUUUUGGGUAUGAAGAUACAUUAUUCAUGAUUAUACUUUUGUCAUCCGUUGUUAUUUACUGUUCAUGAUAAGAUUAUUAUGUUAAUUGGAACAUGGAGAACCACCCGGGAAAACAGUGCUACCACAAGGGUUUAUGGACGCCCUUGGCUGACUAAUUAGGAAAGCUAGUGGAGGACUACCUUACCCGAAAGGGGCAAGGGCAGUAGGGGAGUGGUCAGUGUAGGGAGGCCCUCGGGAGGAUUUUGCUGUGAUGGCGGUCCUGCAAGGGAUUCCUACAUUGGAGCUUUCUAUAAACUGUAGCGGGUUUUCUGAAGCUAGUGGAACUUUGUAAAGGCCUCGUAGUGUUACCCUGCCUCGCCUCCUCGGUAGAGGUGUAUGGGAAGUCGCGAUCCCUUGGCAGAUGGGUAACAUGACUUGUGGGUAAAGAUGCGCAACCUCUGCAGAGUGUAAAACUGGUAUACUAGCCGUGCUCACGGUCAUGAGCAGCUCGGACACUCACAUGAUUAAAUUAUGGAACUUAAACUCAAUUUGUCAUAUGCAUUGCAUCGCAGGUGAGGUUGUUACUUUUGUUCUACUACUUAAUUGGGCUGGUAUUUACUUAUACUUAGUAAUUGCUAAUAAAAUUUUGACCAACUUUAAAAGCAAUGCUCAGCUCUAACCAUCCUCUUUGGUAAGCCUUACACUUCACAUGAGCUCCCACCUUUGGCGAGUUCAUGCACAUUAUUCCCCACAACUUGUUGAGCGAUGAACGUAUGUGAGCUCACUCUUGCUGUCUCACACCCCCCCCACACACAGGUCAAGAACAGGUACCGCAGGAUGAGGCGCUUGGAGGAUGCUGCGAUGUGUUCGUGAGAGGUCUAGGUCGUCGUCUCCCAGUCAACUUUGGGUUGCUGGACCGUUGUCUCCUUAUAAUGUAAUUAUCUAUUUAUUUUGUAUAGAACUCCUGUUAUGUAGUAAAGAUGUGACAUUCGAUCCUGUGCCAUGAUUCAUCAUAUGUGUGAGACUUGGUCCCAACACACCUGGUGAUUAUGUUCGCGCCCGGGCUUUGGACCCCUAAAACCCGGGUGUGACAGAAGUGGUAUCAGAGGAAUGUUGACUGUAGGACGUAACCUAGAUAGAACUGGACAACCAUUGUCUACUUACCUUUGCUACUCUGAUUCUUUCUAAACUUUUCUUAAUCUUUUCUCAUCUAUUUCCGUGUUACUCUGAUUAUUCAUACCUUUUCUUUCUAAUGACAAAUGUGGAUUUCACACUUUGAAAUCAUGUGCCUAAAGUGACCUUUAGGACUAGGAGACCUAAUCCUAGGAACAAAAACAAAACUAUUUUUUUAAGUAUCUAUAUACUUGAAUGUUUGUUCUUAUGAUACAUGUUUGAUUUGGAUCUUUGAUUGAGUGUGAUGAGUUGUGGAGUAAUGUCCACAAUUACAUCUGCAUAUACAUAUAAGAAAAAAAUGCUUAUAAAAAUAACUAGAUAAACUAGAUUAUCCCUCAUUAAAGUAUUUAGCCUAAACAAUAUCCAUCUUAUCUUGAAAGAUUCUAUCUAUCCUCAUAGAUCCAUCUUGUCUUAAAAGAUACUCUAUUACCUUAGUAGAUCCAUCUUAUCUUAAAAAAGAUUUAUCUUAUCCUAAUAGAUCUAUCUGACCUCAAGAGAUUCUACCUUAUCCUUAUGGAUUCAUCUUACCUCAAUAAGCAUAUUUAUCCCACGCUAGUGUAACAACCAUGAUCUAGCCUAAAAUAAAUAAGAUCUUAUCUAGUCAAACUAGUCACACCAAUCUAACCUAGAUCUGAUCUAAUCUAAAGUGAUUUAUCAAACAUGUUAGAUAAUACUGAUGAAAUAGAUUAGACUCUACUCCUAUAGAACGGGUCUUAACUUAGUUCACCCUGCACUAAAUUAAGAAUGACAGAUCGACUUGGCCAUAUGCAACUACCUUAACCAUCCAAUAGUUGCAUAACCCCACAAUUUUAACCUAGCAAGAGAUUCUAACCUACCUACACCAUACAAUCCAUCCUACUCACAUAUGUCCUAGCCAUAUGUCCUUAACUCGGAUGACAACUCCAAGAAAUAAAGGCCAAAAGAAGACCAACCAUGUCAAAGAAGGAUAAGCAUCAACACAAGACUUCAAAGAUCAAGUUGAAUCGCCAGCUGAAUCAAGAUCCACAGUUCAGGAUGAAGUCUUUCCUUAUUAUACUCUUCCCUGCCACAACCUAUUAUCUAUACUUGCCAUAAUCGUACCUCAUCUGACCUAAUAGAUGGCUAGACGUAUAUGUCUAUAUUUUCCAAAUCAUCUACUAGCUACUAUAAAAAAACAUGAAACAAAACUUUUGAUUCCUAAACCAAACUGGUUGCAUCCCUUUUCUUCAAAUCUCGAGGACGAGAUUAUUUUUAAGGGGGUAGGAUUUGUAAUACUCAAAAUUGUAUACAAGGAAUAUAUAGUGAUUUCUUCAUUUUAUGUGCCUCAUUUGCAUCAUAAGAAAAGAGCCCACACACCAUUUAGAGAUUAAGUCAAACAAAUGAUAAAAAAAUGCAUCAUGCUGGAGUUUAUAUGUUUGUGCAUUAAAUGAAAUAAUAAUGCUAAUGGUAAUAAGAUAAUAAUAACUAGAAAUUGGACUAAACCCUAAAUUGAAAAUUAGGGUUUGAAGGUAAGAAGAGAAAUGAUAUGAAAAAUAUAAAUAAUAUAAAUAUAUUUCUAAAAUUUGUAUUUUUCAUUCCAUAAUAUGAUUUGAUAACAAAUUUGCACAAGGUUUGAAACUAAAUUCACAUUCAAAUUUAAACCUAGAAGAAAAGAGAAAGGAAAAUGAAUAAAUAAAAAGAAAAAGAUAAAACCUCAGAUGGGCCAGCAACUACCCCAUUCCGGCCCAGCUAGCACUUUCCUCUCCCCACAGCCCACACUUCCGCCUACUGACCGGGUGGGCCCGCUUCGUCAGGCGCCCUCGCGCACGGACCACGCUCGACCAUUCUCUCGCCCGCGCUCCUUCUCACUGCCGGGGCGCCAGCCAGCUUGCGCACUCAAUGCCGGGUGGGGCCCACCUGUCGGGUCCUCUUCCCCGUUGAACCGGAAGCCGCCUGGGUGCUGGGUUGUUGAGAAUCUGCCUGAACUCCGGACCGACCGCCGCCAGACCUGGGGAUCCUCAGCCGGCGCUCGUAAAUGAUCCGGGGGGGCAUCGCAUGUGGCCGCGUGAAGUGCGGGGUCUCCUUGACCGAAUCGCCGCCAUUGCCGCAGCUCCGCCGAUGCCUGCGGACGUCCCAACCGCCUCCCCGCAGAUCUCGCCAACGGAAGCAAGUCCGUCCAACCUUGGCCGCCACGAUUUCCGGGUCACCGGGGACGCCAGCUGGAGAUGGUUUUCUCUGUUGCGUUCAGGUCUCGGGGUAUAUAACCCACCCUAGACACGCCCAGUUCUCCGUCGAAUCAGGGCAUCACCGCCUCAUCCAAAUCACCAUUAGCGCACUGGGCGGGAUGAAGGUUACCACCGCGGGCAUAUUGGUAGGGGCGCGGCCCUCGGGGAAUCCUUGAUGGCGUCCUCUAUCGAUGCGUGGGGGUUGGCUUGGGCAACUCACGAAGAAUCUGGGCGUGGACGCAAUUGGAAAGUGGUGACCGCGAGCCGUGGGAUUUCCUCGUCGGGGUUCGUCGUCCGGCAUCAAGGGAGACGCUGCUCCGCUCAUCUUCGCCAUAUGCUUUCCCACCCCUGGCAUUCCGGGUG
rnacentral:lncRNA from 1 species